rfam:Gossypium hirsutum cultivar TM-1 chromosome 19, whole genome shotgun sequence
GGUUAAAAAUUCCAUUAAUUUGUACUAUUAAAAACUGACAUGAUUGACAGAAUAACCAAAUAAUGACAAAUUUACAUCAUUGUAACUUACACGAACAAAUUUUUAACAGUAAAAAUGGAUAAAAUUUUUAACA